rnacentral:rRNA from 1 species
CCCUUAGAUGUUCUGGGCUGCACGCGCGCUACACUGUUCGACGCAGCGAGUCUUAACCUUGACCGAAAGGUUUGGGUAAUCUUCAGCAAAGUCGAACGUGAUGGGGAUCGAUCAUUGCAAUUAUUGAUCGUGAACGAGGAAUUCCUAGUAAGUGCAAGUCAUCAGCUUGCGCUGAUUACGUCCCUGCCCUUUGUACACACCGCCCGUCGCUACUACCGAUUGAAUGGUUUAGUGAGAUCUCUGGAUUGACGCUGGCUAGGGGGCGACCCUUGGCCAGACUGCUCGAGAAACUGCUCAAACUUGAUCAUUUAGAGGAAGUAAAAGUCGUAACA